rnacentral:rRNA from 1 species
AUGGCGAGUUCGUCGGAGAAGGCGCCUUCCCCUGCAGCGGCGGAUCUGCCGGAGCGAGGUAAGAUUACGGUGGCCAGCGGCAAACCAAAGAAGAAGACGAGGAGGAUGACGCAGGAGGAGAUCGACAGCUGCAUCCGGUACAAGGGCGUGCGCAUCCCCGUCGACUCCGUCCGCAAGGCGAGCAAGCUGAGGCUGGCCCUCACCAACCUCGACGACCUCGGCAGCCUCCCGGUGUCCCCGGACGAGCUGGAUGACUACGUCACCAACAUGAUCCGGGAGGUGAACGCGAUCGAGGAUGACUUCCAGAAAGAGAGAGACGAGAUCGCGAAGGAGUACUACGCAAAGGGCUACGUCGAGCGCGAGGUCAGCGACGACGACGAAGCAGGAGGCAGCAACCCCCGUGUGGAGAUGGGCUCGCCCUCGCCCAUUUCCGGAAGCACCGUAACCGUAAGCAAGCUCAACUGA